GAAGAAUACUCUGUUACAAAUUGAUCAUAAACGAAAUUUAACACUCAAGUGGUAUGACAGCACAAGAAUACUGUCUAAUUUGACUAUUAGAUAUAGGCUGCAGUUAGGCGUUCACAAGUGUGAUGUGAAGAAAAAUAAAUGUGCGAGAUAGCACCUUCUGGGAGUAAUCCGUUAUAUAAAACCCCAAAGUAGAUAUAGUCAGACGGUAAAAGUAUCUGCCUUCGAGGGCACCUGUCAGACAGAAGAGCUAGCUGCAAGUAAUAA